rnacentral:tRNA from 1 species
GCCCAGGUAGCUCAGUCGGUAGAGCAGCGGACUGAAAAUCCGCGUGUCGGUGGUUCGAUUCCGCCCCUGGGCACCU